UGGGCAGCCAAGAUGGACGGUGGGUA
rnacentral:piRNA from 1 species